CGAAAUGCGAUAAGUAGUGUGAAUUGCAGAAUUCAGUGAAUCAUCGAAUCUUUGAACGCACAUUGCGCCCCUUGGUAUUCCAUGGGGCAUGCCUGUUCGAGCGUCAUUUGUACCCUCAAGCUCUGCUUGGUGUUGGGUGUUUGUCCCCGUCUCCGCGCGUGGACUCGCCCCAAAGUGAUUGGCAGCCGGCGUACUGGUCCCGGAGCGCAGCACAUGUCGCGCACACGAGUGCCUUGGUACGGCGGCGUCCCAUAAGCCCCUCUCUCACGCUCUUGACCUCGGAUCAGGUAGGGAUACCCGCUGAACUUAAGC
rnacentral:misc_RNA from 1 species